rnacentral:tRNA from 1 species
GGAGUUGUGGCUCAGCAGUAGAGCACUUGCCUCAUAUGUGUGAGGCACUGGGUUCGACUCCUAGCACCG